AACGAACGCUGGCGGCGUGGAUAAGACAUGCAAGUCGAGCGGAGCAAUCAGGGUAGCAAUAUUCUGAUUGUUCAGCGGCGCAAGGGUGCGUAACACGUGGGUAAUUUGCCAUGAAGUCUG
rnacentral:rRNA from 1 species